GAGGCCGUAGCCUACUGGUUAGGGCUUCAGGCUUGUAACCGAAGAGUUGCUGGUUCGAUCCCCAAGCCAGUAGGA
rnacentral:tRNA from 1 species